rnacentral:sRNA from 1 species
GUACUGGUUAGGGAUGACUCACGGGCGC